GAGCCUCCAUCUUCAAAGCCUCUCCAAACUCAUUAGUUUCUGCAUCAGGAUUGGGUGGCUUUGCACAAAUACUGGGUCAACAUUUUACCCCGUUGGUUGGAAUGAAGACAAGCCUCAGCCACACCAUUCUUCAGUAUCACUGGACUUCUUCUCUACUAUGAAAUAAAACAUGGCACAUUUGGUUCAGCUCUGUGUCAAGGUCAGGUCAGCCCUUUGCAACAGACAAACUUUAUUCUGGUGGUCGUCCUACAGCAAGGUGAACCUCCACCCCAGUCUCCAGUUUUCUGCAGCCUCCAACUGGUUUUCUUCCAAGAUUGUCCUGGAUUUAGCUCCUUCAGUCUUCGCAUCAGCUCUGACCUGCUUCUGAUUCUGUUCAGUAGAAGAAAACCAUCUUCACAGUUCAAUCCUGGCACCACCAUAUUUUACUGCCAGCAGAGGGCAACUCCAGCAUGGAUCCAGUUUCUGGAUAGCUCCCAGUGAUCUCUCCAGAUUCAUUUCCAGCUUCAUUGUCUCCUCACCUUCUUUUAAAGUUUAACACUUGUUGAUAAGGUUGAUUUUAUGAUGAAGAAUUAUUUUGAUUUUAACUAUUUUAUUAAAUGUCCUGGAGGAUACAAGUCACUGGCUUGCUGCAUUCUGAUGGGUUUCCUUUGGUAAAAAAAACUUUUAACCAAUAUGAGUAAUAAACUUAAGUUGACUACAUUGUUUGACAACUUGGAUCAAUUUGGACUGCAUGUAAUUAACUUGGAAUCCAUCUGUAGGAAUGGAUUAAAUUGACUUUUUUAUAGAGUGCCCUAAGAAGACAUUUGCUGUGAUUUGGCAUGAUAUAAAUAAAAUUGAAUAGAACUGAAAA